AGCUCCAAUAGCGUAUAUUAAAGUUGUUGCAGUUAAAAAGCUCGUAGUUGGAUCUCAGGUCCCGGCUCGCGGUUCACUUCACGGUGCUUACUGCCCGUCCGGACCUACCUGCCGGUUUUCCCUUGGUGCUCUUCAUUGAGUGUCUCGGGGGCCCGGAACGUUUACUUUGAAAAAAUUAGAGUGUUCAAAGCAGGCGCUUCGCCUGAAUAAUGGUGCAUGGAAUAAUGGAAUAGGACCUCGGUUCUAUUUUGUUGGUUUUCGGAACUCGAGGUAAUGAUUAAGAGGGACAGACGGGGGCAUUCGUAUUACGGUGUUAGAGGUGAAAUUCUUGGAUCGCCGUAAGACGAACUACUGCGAAAGCAUUUGCCAAGAAUGUUUUCAUUA
rnacentral:rRNA from 1 species